GAAAUCCCUGAUUUAGGUAAAAACAUUUUAAUUGAAGAAGGCAUUGUAGAGUCUUCUGAUGACAGUGAUGGGGAAGAAAUGGCAAACAAAAGUAUUGUUGUCACGGAAGAAGUUGGUGGAGUUUUGAAAUCAGUGGAAUGUUUGGUGGAAGCAGAGGAUGAUAAGGAGAUGAAUACAAUUCUGGCGGUUGAUCGCAAAUGCAGAGGGAGUCGAAAAGAGAACACAGAAGGCUGUUGUAUAAAACACCUGUCUCCGUAUUACAUCUUCAAACUAAGGACAACCAUGGCAUCCGUGACAAAGAGGGAGAAAGAUCUGAUGAUUCUUAUGGCAUUGCACAUGGUCAGUGUGAACCAGAGUGACUUGACACAAUGGGCCAAGCAAGCUGUAUAAACAAAACGGAAACGACACAGGACGUCUUAUUUAAUGAAAGGGGUUGCAGUCUGCCGUGAAGCAUUCAUCCAUGUAUACAGUUCCUUAUUUUAUAUUCCUUGGAGGCAGCAGUAUCUAUUCCAGACAAUCCAUCUUAGUGCCCAUGGUUUAUGUUGAAAACAACUGGAAAAGGGAAUUUAUUGAAUCGCAUUUAACCCAGUUGAAGACAUUUGGAAAGGUAUCGCCCAUCUUCUCCACUUAUCCUCUGGGUAUUUACACCUGUGUUUUCUGUCUCUGUUGCCAGUUCGUCUUGUUUGUUCAAGCCUACCAGAGUUUUGUGUCUCAGCUGCUUUUUCCAGUUUCUCUUUUCUUGUUCUCCUGGUUUUUGACCCUUGCCUGUCCUGACCCUGUACUCACCCACCUGACCACUCUGCCUGUCCCUGAGCCUGCCUGCCGUCCU